rnacentral:lncRNA from 1 species
ACUCAACAUGUAUAAUAAUCCGCACAAUGUAAUGAGCUGACAGAACAGUAAACAAGAUAUUGAUUCAUUCAACUAAAUAUAACACUACUAUCAGAUCACAAAAUGGGGGUCUUGCUUCUCCACCUUAAACCUUGUUAUUUAUUUGCUUCAAUGAAUUCUCUAUACUCUUUCUUCAUUUUCACCCCUGGCACCUUCCUGCAACAUUCAAC